rnacentral:rRNA from 2 species
AGACCCGAAACCCGGUGAUCUAGCCAUGGGCAGGUUGAAGGUUGGGUAACACUAACUGGAGGACCGAACCGACUAAUGUUGAAAAAUUAGCGGAUGACCUGUGGCUGGGGGUGAAAGGCCAAUCAAACCGGGAGAUAGCUGGUUCUCCCCGAAAGCUAUUUAGGUAGCGCCUCGUGAAUUCAUCUCCGGGGGUAGAGCACUGUUUCGGCUAGGGGGCCAUCCCGGCUUACCAACCCGAUGCAAACUGCGAAUACCGGAGAAUGUUAUCACGGGAGACACACGGCGGGUGCUAACGUCCGUCGUGAAGAGGGAAACAACCCAGACCGCCAGCUAAGGUCCCAAAGUCAUGGUUAAGUGGGAAACGAUGUGGGAAGGCCCAGACAGCCAGGAUGUUGGCUUAGAAGCAGCCAUCAUUUAAAGAAAGCGUAAUAGCUCACUGGUCGAGUCGGCCUG